GAGGAAGAGCUGAUCCAGUCAGAGAACUCGGCCUCCAUCUUCAACACACUAUCGGAUAUCCCGUCGCAGAUAGAGGAUGCGGAGCUGCUUCUGGGGGUGGCCAUGCGGCUGGCCGGCUCCCUCACCGAUGUGGCCGUGGAGACUCAGCGCCGCAAGCACCUGGCCUAUCUCAUUGCAGACCAGGGCCAGCUCCUGGGGGCCGGCACCCUCACCAACCUCUCUCAGGUUGUUCGCCGCAGGACCCAGCGGAGGAAGUCCACCAUCACUGCUCUGCUCUUCGGUGAGAGCUCUGCGGGUGCCAGGCAGUGUGGGCAUGCGGGAGUCUGUCCUCACGCUCAUGUGGACGUGGAGCUUCCUCCUCGGGGGCCUGGAGUGGGCCGUGGUCACCAUUGCUCUCUGGGCCUCCUAGGGGAGGAUGACCUGGAGGCACUCAAGGCCAAGAACAUCAAGCAGACGGAACUGGUGGCUGACCUCAGGGAAGCCAUCCUGCGCGUGGCACGCCACUUCCAGUGCACAGACCCCAAAAACUGCAGUGUGGAGCUGACUCCAGACUAUAGCAUGGAGAGCCACCAGCGGGACCACGAGAACUACGUGGCGUGUUCACGCAGCCACCGGCGCCGAGCCAAGGCCCUGCUGGACUUUGAGCGGCACGACGAUGACGAGCUGGGCUUCCGCAAGAACGACAUCAUCACAAUCGUGUCUCAGAAGGACGAGCACUGCUGGGUGGGGGAGCUCAACGGCCUACGAGGCUGGUUUCCAGCCAAGUUCGUGGAAGUCCUGGAUGAGCGCAGCAAAGAGUACUCCAUCGCGGGGGACGACUCGGUGACGGAGGGCGUCACAGACCUCGUGCGAGGGACCCUCUGCCCGGCCCUUAAGGCCCUGUUCGAACAUGGACUGAAGAAGCCAUCCCUGCUUGGGGGCGCCUGCCACCCCUGGCUGUUUAUCGAGGAG
rnacentral:sRNA from 1 species